rnacentral:rRNA from 1 species
CCUACGGGCGGCAGCAGUGAGGAAUAUUGGUCAAUGGGCGCUAGCCUGACCCAGCCAAGUAGCGUGAAGGAUGACUGCCCUACGGGUUGUAAACUUCUUUUAUAAAGGAAUAAAGUGAAGCAUGUGUGCUGUUUUGUAUGUACUUUAUGAAUAAGGAUCGGCUAACUCCGUGCCAGCAGCCGCGGUAAUACGGAGGAUCCGAGCGUUAUCCGGAUUUAUUGGGUUUAAAGGGAGCGUAGACGGGUUGUUAAGUCAGUUGUGAAAGUUUGCGGCUCAACCGUAAAAUUGCAAUUGAUACUGGCAGCCUUGAGUACAGUAGAGGUAGGCGGAAUUCGUGGUGUAGCGGUGAAAUGCUUAGAUAUCACGAAGAACUCCGAUUGCGAAGGCAGCUUGCUAGACUGUAACUGACGCUGAUGCUCGAAAGUGUGGGUAUCAAACAGGAUUAGAUACCCUUGUAGUC